CCCGAAACCGACACAGGUGGUCAGGUCGAGUAGACCAAGGCGCUUGAGAGAACUCUGCUGAAGGAACUAGGCAAAAUGGUACCGUAACUUCGGGAGAAGGUACGCUGUUGUUGGUGAUGGAACUCGCUUCCUGAGCUGACGACAGCCGCAGAAACCAGGCCGCUGCAACUGUUUAUUAAAAACAUAGCACUCUGCAAACACGAAAGUGGACGUAUAGGGUGUGAUGCCUGCCCGGUGCUGGAAGGUUAAUUGAUGGGGUUAGCGUAAGCGAAGCUCUUGAUCGAAGCCCCAGUAAACGGCGGCCGUAACUAUAACGGUCCUAAGGUAGCGAAAUUCCUUGUCGGGUAAGUUCCGACCUGCACGAAUGGCAUAAUGAUGGCGGCGCUGUCUCCAGCAGAGGCUCAGUGAAAUCGAAAUCGCUGUGAAGAUGCAGUGUACCCGCGGCUAGACGGAAAGACCCCGUGAACCUUUACUGCAGCUUGACACUGAACUUUGACCUUACUUGUGUAGGAUAGGUGGGAGGCUUUGAAGCUGGAACGCUAGUUCCAGUGGAGCCGUCCUUGAAAUACCACCCUGGUAAUGUUGAGGUUCUAACUCUGUCCCGUGAUCCGGGACGAGGACCGUGUCUGGUGGGUAGUUUGACUGGGGCGGUCUCCUCCUAAAGAGUAACGGAGGAGUACGAAGGUGCGCUCAGCGUGGUCGGAAAUCACGCGUAGAGUAUAAAGGCAAAAGCGCGCUUAACUGCGAGACCCACAAGUCGAGCAGGUACGAAAGUAGGUCUUAGUGAUCCGGUGGUUCUGUAUGGAAGGGCCAUCGCUCAACGGAUAAAAGGUACUCUGGGGAUAACAGGCUGAUACCGCCCAAGAGUUCAUAUCGACGGCGGUGUUUGGCACCUCGAUGUCGGCUCAUCUCAUCCUGGGGCUGAAGCAGGUCCCAAGGGUAUGGCUGUUCGCCAUUUAAAGAGGUACGCGAGCUGGGUUUAGAACGUCGUGAGACAGUUCGGUCCCUAUCUACCGUGGGCGCUGGAAAUUUGAGAGGAUCUGCUCCUAGUACGAGAGGACCAGAGUGGAUGAACCUCUGGUGUACCGGUUGUGACGCCAGUCGCAUCGCCGGGGAGCUAUGUUCGGAAGGGAUAACCGCUGAAAGCAUCUAAGCGGGAAGCCUACCUCAAGAUAAGAUUUCCCUAGGACUUUAUGUCCUCUAAAGAGCCGUUCGAGACUAGGACGUUGAUAGGUUGGAUGUGGAAGCAUAGUGAUAUGUGAAGCUGACCAAUACUAAUUGCUCGUGAGGCUUGACUAU
rnacentral:rRNA from 1 species